rnacentral:rRNA from 1 species
AGUGAACGCUGGCGGUAGGCCUAACACAUGCAAGUCGAACGGCAGCACAGUAAGAGCUUGCUCUUACGGGUGGCGAGUGGCGGACGGGUGAGGAAUACAUCGGAAUCUACUUUUUCGUGGGGGAUAACGUAGGGAAACUUACGCUAAUACCGCAUACGACCUACGGGUGAAAGCAGGGGAUCUUCGGACCUUGCGCGAUUGAAUGAGCCGAUGUCGGAUUAGCUAGUUGGCGGGGUAAAGGCCCACCAAGGCGACGAUCCGUAGCUGGUCUGAGAGGAUGAUCAGCCACACUGGACCUGAGACACGGUCCAGACUCCUACGGGAGGCAGCAGUGGGGAAUAUUGGACAAUGGGCGCAAGCCUGAUCCAGCCAUACCGCGUGGGUGAAGAGGGCCUUCGGGUUGUAAAGCCCUUUUGUUGGGAAAGAAAAGCAGCAGGUUAAUACCCCGCUGUUCUGACGGUACCCAAAGAAUAAGCACCGGCUAACUUCGU